CACGUAGGGCGCAAGCGUUGUCCGGAAUUAUUGGGCGUAAAGAGCUCGUAGGCGGUCUGUUGCGUCCGCUGUGAAAACUCGGGGCUUAACCCCGAGCCUGCAGUGGAUACGGGCAGACUAGAGGUAGGUAGGGGAGAAUGGAAUUCCCGGUGUAGCGGUGAAAUGCGUAGAUAUAGGAAGGAAUACCAGUGGCGAAGGCGGCCUCCUGGAUCGAUACUGACGCUGAGGCGCGAAAGCGUGGGGAGCAAACAGG
rnacentral:rRNA from 1 species